rnacentral:rRNA from 1 species
GAUGAACGCUAGCGGCAGGCUUAACACAUGCAAGUCGAGGGGUAACAGGGAUGAGCUUGCUUUUUCGCUGACGACCGGCGCACGGGUGCGUAACGCGUAUAGAACCUACCUUUUACAGGGGAAUAGCCCAGAGAAAUUUGGAUUAAUGCCCCAUAGUAUUAUUGAAUGGCAUCAUUUAAUAAUUAAACAUUUAUGGGUAAAAGAUGGCUAUGCGUUCUAUUAGCUAGAUGGUAAGGUAACGGCUUACCAUGGCAACGAUAGAUAGGGGUCCUGAGAGGGAGAUCCCCCACACUGGUACUGAGACACGGACCAGACUCCUACGGGAGGCAGCAGUGAGGAAUAUUGGACAAUGGAGGCAACUCUGAUCCAGCCAUGCCGCGUGCAGGAAGACGGUCCUAUGGAUUGUAAACUGCUUUUAUAUAGGAAGAAACCUUUCCACGUGUGGAAAGCUGACGGUACUAUAAGAAUAAGCACCGGCUAACUCCGUGCCAGCAGCCGCGGUAAUACGGAGGGUGCAAGCGUUAUCCGGAAUCAUUGGGUUUAAAGGGUCCGUAGGCGGACUAAUAAGUCAGGGGUGAAAUCCAACAGCUUAACUGUUGAACUGCCUUUGAUACUGUUAGUCUUGAGUUAUAUGGAAGUAGAUAGAAUAUGUAGUGUAGCGGUGAAAUGCUUAGAGAUUACAUAGAAUACCGAUUGCGAAGGCAGUCUACUACGUAUAUAC